rnacentral:lncRNA from 1 species
GUAAUAUAGAAGGCCUGGGACUCUGCGAACUGACUCUCUCCAUCGGACCCAGUCACGUUCCCUGCUCGCCUGCAGGGCGGGUCUAGAAUGAUUCGGCACUUUUGGAAAGCACCAGCCGAUGCCCCAGGCACGAAGGAAACAAAGGAAGGCUAGGAUGGUGCUGGCAGGUGAAUUGUCCACAGGAAGACCGGAGGCGGUGAAGAGGUGGGAGGAGCCAGGGAGAGAACCCGGCUGCCAGCGUGGCCAGGACCAGCUGAUGCCCGAAGACCACGGCUGAUACGCGUUCGCUGGGAACCCUCAGAAACACUUAGGAGGGGACUGAACUUACUGAAACCAAAUGUGGGGUGUGGACUUGAGUUAUUCUAUUCAGUUAGCAAGAGAAUGGUCACCUCUCAGUUAUCUGCAGAUUCGGGGACAUUCAGGUUACAUUGAAUUACUGUACUGAUAAUAAGUAACAUUCAUGGCAAAAUAAAACACUAUUUAGUUUGCA